UUAUUACAACGUUCAUUGGUGUCAUCCGCAAGGAGGCCGGAUGACUGUACAAUGAAAUCUGUUCUUGCCAAGAGCUCCGCCACUAGCACUAGCAAACAAAGGAGCCCAACAUUCCGGGCCAAGUUGAAAGAAUUCAAACAGGCAGCAUAAGAGGUGCAACUUUGUCAUCUGGAGAUACGAGCAAGAUAGCUGAAGCAUAGGAGGAUAAAGUGUGCAUUUUCGAUACCAUUAACUCAUAAUCACCGUUUUUCUACGCACGGAUCACAGUACAAGUGAGCUCAAACCAGUAGCUUACAAGCUACUCAAAGAUUACCCGAUUGCCUUGGAAUCUUGAAGGAGCACGCUUACUAUCGAGCGAAACAGUUCUACAAUUGGGGCAAGUGCGUCUAACAAAGCAAGACGGCGAUGAACCUGCUACGGUCAAGAUCGGAAUUGAGGCAUAUUGUAAUUCCAAAACUCCAACAAAUGACGCAUCUUGGAGUUGUGUUUAUAAACGUCACUCUACAUCACGUUUCAUUAUUGGCAUUCAGUUCUGACGGGGCAUUUUUUGUGACAUUUCCGGAAAAAGCGAUUGCAUGGUGAAGGUGUUACGUGAACAAGCACAAUAAUAUAUUAUGCGAUCUACUGUCUACAGUGAACACUGAUGUGUCAUCAAUUUUUGAUACUGUCGGCUAUAAAUCGAUUAUCACUAUCACAAAAGGACACUGCAGUUUUUGUGAAGAAUGAACAGAACGUUAAGCUUGAAUACCUGAACAAUGCAAAUAGAAAAGGCAGUUUUCCUCCAGCAUCGAAGUUAAUUUUCCAGGCAGUGGAAAAAAAUCCCUUCGGUGAUCCCCAGUACGAGCUUUCAGC